rnacentral:rRNA from 1 species
CGCCAGUUCUCAUGGAGCCAUCCUUGAAAUACCACCCUGGCAACUUUGAGGUUCUAACUCAGGUCCGUUAUCCGGAUCGAGGACAGUGUAUGGUGGGUAGUUUGACUGGGGCGGUCUCCUCCCAAAGAGUAACGGAGGAGUACGAAGGUGCGCUCAGACCGGUCGGAAAUCGGUCGUAGAGUAUAAAGGCAAAAGCGCGCUUGACUGCGAGACAAACACGUCGAGCAGGUACGAAAGUAGGUCUUAGUGAUCCGGUGGUUCUGUA